UACGGAGGGUGCAAGCAUUGAUCGGAAUUACUGGGCGUAAAGGGCGCGUAGCCGGUUCUACAAGUCUUCCGUUAAAUCCACCUGCUUAACAGAUGGGCUGCGGAAGAUACUAUGGAGCUAGGAGGCGGGAGAGGCAAGCGGUACUCGAUGGGUAGGGGUAAAAUCCGUUGAUCCAUUGAAGACCACCAGUGGCGAAGGCGGCUUGCCAGAACGCGCUCGACGGUGAGGGAUGAAAGCUGGGGGAGCAAACCGG
rnacentral:rRNA from 1 species